CAGUAGCCGCGGUAAUACGUAUGUCACAAGCAUUAUCCGGAUUUAUUGGGCGUAAAGCGCGUCUAGGUGGUUAUAUAAGUCUGAUGUGAAAAUGCAGAGCUCAACUCUGUAUUGCGUUGGAAACUGUGUAACUAGAGAACUGGAGAGGUAAGCGGAACUACAAGUGUAGAGGUGAAAUUCGUAGAUAUUUGUAGGAAUGCCGAUGGGGAAGCCAGCUUACUGGACAGAUACUGACGCUAAAGCGCGAAAGCGUGGGUAGCAAACAGGAUUAGAUACCCCAGUAGUCCCUGUCUCUUAUACA
rnacentral:rRNA from 1 species